UCUAACGUCCUCCAACUUCACGUGAAAAAAAAGAAAAGCAAACUCUCAAACCCUCAUUCCCCUUUCACAUUGACUCCUCCUUGCUUCCUACUGCUGGCCGCCUCCACCACCCACCGGGGACCUCCCUCGCCGCAGCCUUCGCGCUGCACGACCACCAUGCUCGCCACCAGCACUGCCGCCGCGAGGCCCUUGCCGUCGCCUGGCCGCCGGUCUGCACGCCACCGAGCCGCGCAACCACCUUCGUCGCAGCCGCGUCCUUGCAUCGCCGUCCAGCCACCCUUGUUCUCUCUUCUCUUUUGGCGGAGAAUUCUCUGUAGGUGACUUUUAAAAGUGCUAAAGUGGCCUAUCAGUUUUUUUUCACAAGGUUGCGGAAAGUGACUAAUAUGGCCCAAAUAGGAUAGUAAAUAUGGUCUGCGUACCAUUAAUUUGAAUAUAAAUUUGGUCUAAUGCACCAAAGUUUUUAUUUAAAUAUGGUCUGCGUACCAUCAAUUAGUUGUAAUUAGUUUAGUUAUAGCAUAUCCUAUUUGCGGAAAAUGGCGCCUCCCAUGGUGAAAUUCAAGACGGAGUUUCCAAUCCAUUUUCAAGACGAAGAUUGAAGUUGAAGCUUCAAGAUGAAGUCGGGCCAUACUAGAUCACAUUAAAAUAUUAUGCAUGCUUUAAGAUACCUAUUGCUUUAAAUAUGUCUUGAUAUUAUGCAUGAGAUUGUGGCUUGAUUAUGUUGCAUGAUUAAGGAUUUUAGUUCACU